CACCUUGCGUACCCUACUAUACGG
rnacentral:siRNA from 1 species